CAGAGUGCAGUGUUAUCCAAACCGAGAAAACCAGCGGGAAACCGGACGACGACGCGUACACUUAUACAAUAGCCGUAUUAGGUACCUACCUAACACUACUACAGUGACCUCCGCUCGUAAAAAUCGUACAUUUGGACGUCACCGAACCGAAUACAGUUGUCGACGCGUCCGGUUCCGUUCACGAAAGUUGUCAACACACGUUUGUGAUACGUAUAUGGUGAUAAGUGCGUGUGUAACUAAUAAUGAAAUAAAACAAAAAAAUGCCAACUCACUAUUUUACACUGUCAGAUGAAUCUCCGCAGUAAAUAUGGGUAUCAGCAGGCAGCUAGUACUAAUAGCACCACAAGGUAUCCGGUUAUUUUGGCAAAUGCAGCGUGGUGAAUUUUUCAGGAUAUCUCG